CACAUGCCAAAAUUGGACAUAGAAUUAUGUACAAAUUAAAAUUUUCUUAAUAUAAUAUAAAAUUCAGCAUUUCAAUCGUUUAGUUGAUCAUUUGCCAUACUACUCAAAAUUAGUGAAAACUUUUAUAUUCAUAAAUUAUUUACACUGAAAUUAUUUAAAUUUCAUGUAUAUUUCAAGCAACUUUUUUUAUCCCCAAAUGUUGAAAAGCAUUCUGCGUUGACUUGACAUACACUUACUUUGUCCCAGGCAUUAUCCUAGGGCUUCAUGUGUAUCAACUCAUUUAAACGAAGAACAGUAAUGCCAGGUGGGUAUGAUUUUUAUCUGCAUUUUACACAAGAGCAAAGUGAAGCACAAAGAAGUUAAAUAAUACCAUCAAGGUCAUACACCUAAUACUUGAUCAAACAGGGGUUUGAAUCUAGCCAGCCACAGGCUCCAGAGCUGGUGUUUUAACUGCUCAGCUACAUGACAAAGGCUGCCUGGUUUUCUUAAAGCAGUGAUAGUCCUUCCCUCCCCCAACCCCACACACAUGUUGUUUGGGUCCUUCCCUCUCACGUCUGUUUGAGAUUGGAGUGCGUGACCAUCAAGAUGGGAGGAAAGUGAAAGAAAAUUCUGGAACUAGGAGCACUUCUCAGACUGGCUAUAACAGUGAGAACCUAAGGGAGAAGGAGGUACUUGACCAGAGAGAUGAACAAGGAAGCUUCCCCUUUCUAUCUCAGCCUAGGUCUGACCUGCCACCCGCACCCCAGGGAUUAUGUGCUGAGCCCUUCAGUUCCAGGAUGCGUUUACGAUUUCCUAUCUGCUCCAAUAUAAAAUCUCUCAGACCAGUUUUACUCAGAGCUUCAUGGACAUUUUAGUUAUGCAAUAUAUGAGGUCUGAAUAUUGUCACACAUCCAAAUAGAACUUAAUUGUUAAGCUUUGCAGUCUCACAUAUACUCAAUAUCCAAUAUUUACAAAUAAAUACAACCCCCUUCUCCCAAAGUAGGCAUAAUUGCAGAAAUAAAGGUGCUGAACUGUUCUUCAGGAAGGUCUUGGCAGUUUUCGAAUAUUCCUUAGCAACAGUAUUCCACAUUAACCUUCAAGCAAAUGACAUUGAACUGCUACCAAACUUUUGUGUCGUGUUACACAGAAGUAUGACUCUGAGUGGUGGAUUCUUGUAACUUUCUCUAAAUGGAACUCCCAUCAGGAGAAGCAUUAUGUGUUAGAGGUGACUACUGAUUGAGCUAGCAGGAGAUACUUCUUUAGGAGGAAAAGCAACUUGAAAUUUUUUUAUAAGGUUGACUUUAUCCCAUUGAAAGUGAUGGUAUAUGAAAUGAAAAUAUCUUUUAAAAAAUGAAUUGUAUGUAGAAUACAGUAUAUGUUCUCCCAUGCAUCUAUUUCUUUUUGCAGGUAAGAGCACUAUUCACCAAAUAAUGUUUUCAGUUAAUGUUUUGGAUUAAGCAGAUGUAAUUUCUAGAAUAAUAACAUUUGUGACCAACACCACCCUCACCAUUGGGCAUGCCUUUGCUGGAACUCCCUUUGCACGGGGACAGAAGGUUUGGCUAUAAAUGUGUAUGGUGGUAAAUGUGAAUUUAUCGUAUGGAGGAAGCAUGUCAAUGAAGAGGAAGAUGAGGCCACUCAAGGCCAGUGUGCAACGGUGGAGGGGAGAUCAGCACGUAACAAACAAAAGCCAGGUUCUGCCAGAGGGCCGGGAUGAAGGCGGUUAGAUAACGAAAUAGCUUCUGGAGAUUUCUCUAAGUGAGGAUUACGGAAACUUAUUGAUGGGUGAUCGAAGUUUUCUCCCAUUCUCUUUUCAUUUCAAGCAAAGAUUAACAUUUUCCCUUAUAAGAAGCCUUAGUUUCUAGACAACGAUAAUUUUCACACCAUGAAAAACUUAAAGCCUUCUAACUCAGCUAUUUAAAUAUUACAAGAUUCUGUUCACUGGUAUCAUCUGCUUUCAGAUGAUUUUGCUAUAGUUAUUAUGUUUUAGAGAGCACUUUCUUAUGUUUUAGGAGAAGAUGGCCUCUAGUGCUAUUCAUUUCCGACGGUGCGGCAUCCCAAACCGUGGAAACAGAAGGCAGGCCAGCACGCGCUGGCCGUUGUCGCCCAUUCGCCGUCCAUUCUCAGGCUUCUUCCCGAGGGCGGAGCCGACCUGGCCUCUGGGCCUCGGCUCCGGAAAGGAGGGCCUCUGCAGCCCUAGGCAGGAAAUGAAGAACUCCUAAAGUGACAUUGCAGACUUGGGAUCUGCGCCCUCUUCUGCUUCCGUCCAGAAGUGCCCUGCCUCAUUCCCUGCAGAACUGAAGGCAAUGAAUCAAAUGCGGACAGCUGCUGUUGCCCUGUAUCGGG
ensembl:lncRNA